GGGGAGAUGGCUCAGAGGUUAAGAGCACUGUUCUUUCAGAGGACCUGAGUUCAAUUCCCAGCACCCUCA
rfam:Cricetulus griseus cell line CHO-K1, whole genome shotgun sequence.